GCGCCUGCUGCGGAGAAAUAAAGUGAAUGUGUGUGUCGAUCCCGGCGGCCGUCAGGAUCAGAUGUGAGCCGGAGAUGGCAUCGGUGGUCAGGCCAAUCUCCAAGCCAGGCGUAACACGAUCCAUCGUCUGCGGAUUGCCGGCCUUGCCGAUCGCACUGAUACGGCCGUCCCUGAUCCCCACAUCCGCUUUCACCACGCCCAGCACCGCGUCGAUCACGGUCACGUUGGUGAUCACGAGGUCAGGAGCACCGCCCGCCCGCGUCACCUGAUUGUCCAUGCCCAUGC
rnacentral:sRNA from 1 species